UACAGAGGGGGCAAGCGUUGUUCGGAAUUACUGGGCGUAAAGGGCGCGUAGGCGGCCUUCUAAGUCGAACGUGAAAUCCCCGGGCUCAACCCGGGUACUGCGUCCGAUACUGGAAGGCUUGAAUCCGGGAGAGGGAUGCGGAAUUCCAGGUGUAGCGGUGAAAUGCGUAGAUAUCUGGAGGAACACCGGUGGCGAAGGCGGCAUCCUGGACCGGUAUUGACGCUGAGGCGCGAAAGCCAGGGGAGCAAACGGG
rnacentral:rRNA from 1 species